UACGUAGGGUGCGAGCGUUAAUCGGAAUUACUGGGCGUAAAGCGUGCGCAGGCGGUUCGUUAAGUUCGAUGUGAAAGCCCCGGGCUCAACCUGGGAACUGCAUUGGAAACUGGCGGGCUAGAGUAUGGCAGAGGGGGGUAGAAUUCCACGUGUAGCAGUGAAAUGCGUAGAGAUGUGGAGGAAUACCGAUGCGAAGGCAGCCCCCUGGCCAAUACUGGACGCUCAUGCACGAAAGCGUGGGGAGCAAACAGG
rnacentral:rRNA from 1 species